rnacentral:lncRNA from 1 species
UUAGGGGAAAGACCUGUGAAAUUAUUUUAAAUAAUAUUAUAAACUAGUAAUAGUUUGUAUAGUGUAAGGUUACUAAGUAAAGCAGCCAUGGCUUUUAAUUCCAUUUUCUGGAUUUUUAAAAUGUUGCAAUCUUAGAUAAUUCAACAUGUGUGAGCUCCAGUUUCCUCAUCUUCAAAAAGAAGUGGGUGGGCAAUAACAACAGUUAUGCAUCAUCUGAAUAUUGUAAUCAUCCCUAGCGAUAGAUGCAUGUGAAACAUUAAAUUCAGUGCAUGGUACAAAGUAGAUAUUCGAAUGUUAGCCAAGUAUAUCAUUAUAUUAUUAAACUGAAAAAGUCAAUAAAAUGAUAUAAUUAAACAACCAUAGUUGCUGUAAUUCACAAAUUAAUUGUUGAGAGCAAAUAGGGGUGGAUUCUGGAUAGCAGAGACAACAAAAUCAAUGUAUGGAUUAACGUGAGUAAAACAGCUUCCUAUCAUUGUGCUAGGUUUUGUGCCAGAAGCUUCACAUGCGUUGUUUUUACUGAGUCCUCUUUAAUAAUCCCAUUUCACAGAUAGGAAAACCGAGACUCAGAGAAGUUAGAUAAAUAGGCUAUGGUCUUAGGGUUAAGAAGUAGGACAGCUGGGAUUUAGCCUUUGAUUUUAAAGAUGAUUGUAGAUUUAUCAUUUGUUUUUAUUUACCCACAUUACUUUCUGUGUCAUUCUGUCAUGUUUAACCUAGAUAGAACACAGCCCUGGGUCUGGACUUCCACACUUUUGCUCCAAUAAGUGUUCAGUUAUAUAAUGUCCAAUAAAAACAUUUUUUGAGUUCCUUGUAUAAAUUGACAAGGUCAAUAAACUUGAGUUGCAAUUUUUUCUCCUGAGACGCAGACCAGAUAGGAAAACCAGAGCUCAGACAAUUCUGAGAGUUAAGUAGUAAUGAAAAAUAUCAGGGAGGUUCUGGAGACAAGGGGAAUGAUCUUGGGGUCUGAAGCCUAGAGAUCACAUUUCUCGGUGCUAGUUCAUGAGUGCUAGGAAAAGCCACAGCAAGUAGAAUGUCCCAGCACUAUGAACAAAUGACAUUACAAUGUACAGAGGAUGAGAUUGGAAGGCCAUACAUGCUGCUCUCUGGAAUUCUUACUCUAAGAAGCCUUGCCUGUUUUACAUUGUCGUAGGAGGUACAAAAGAAAUAAUUGAUUGCUUCAAUGUAUUUUCUCUCGGGGGCAUUUUUGCCAUUUCAGCUUCAAGACUAAUCAAUCGACGAAGCCAUGGCUGUGACAAACCUAAACUUCACAUGUCUUAACAGAUCUGCAUACAUAAUGCUUCGAAGGAAAAUAAAGAAAACCAACAAAGACAAUAAGCUGCUCCUUCUUCAUUUAGCCCAUCUCACUGUUGACUUCUCCAGAGAAGACGCUGUAACAGAGUUUGAAGAACAAGAUCUUUCUUGGAAAUCAACACCUGUGAAAGCAAGAGGGUAUAAGCAGAAUUGUGCAGAGGAAGAAGGAAGAACAUGGAGCUGCUCUCCCUGAAGUGAAAGAUGGGACCCGGAGCCCUUAACCCCAGAGGUUCCUUUGCAUCUGUCCUCUGACUGCAUGGAACACGGUGUUUUAAGUCAUUGGAUUGGAUGACUUCCAGGGUCACUUUUACUCAUACAUUUUAUGAUUCCAGGGUCCAAGAAUGACGGUAUUAUAUGUAAGAACUCUGAAGACUCAAAGAGAAGAACAACUAGAAUUCUUCUUUCUUUCCUAUUGUUCAUAAACAUGGUAUUAAAAUGACCACUAAAGAGCAGAAACAUCUCACAGGCUGUUUCCUAGUUCUGAUAUUAUACAAAG